AUGUGAUCAACAUGAGGGCGGCUGACCUAAAUUAGCAGGUGUGUUGAGUGUGAUCUUUAUCCUGGUCUGAAUUCAGUUCACCCUCAUCCAACCAGUCUGUACUGUACUGUAGGCAGACAGUGACUGCCUGGCCUGGUGGUGACGGACCUACAUUUCAUCUACCUGUGGUACAGUACAUUAACAGCUGAGCAAGCAAGUUGGUUUAUAGAUAUAAAGUAUUUUGCAAUUUUCUUUUUCACAAACCCACACAAGCACAUACAGCAGUGGUGUUGAAGUGGAUUGUUCAGUUAAGCAAAACCUGAUGUGUGAGAUUGGAGAGCAGCUGGAGCAGGCAGGUGAGCUUGAACAGCCUGGAGUAUGAAAGGCAAGAGAAAUGCAAUGCAACUUAAAGCCCCCUGCCAGCCUCCAGAAAUCCAGCCCUCACGUGGAGGACACCAACACCAACCCACUCCAGCUAGAGGAUCAGGAUAAAGAACCCUGCAGAGCGAAGACAGGAGGGUUCUUGUUCAGCAGAGGAAGAGCAUAUAGAGUUUAGGCCACUGUAGAGGGAGUAUUUUAUUAACAUUCUAUACAACUCUGGAUUGGUUCAUUGAGAACACAGAGCAAAAGUUCCCAUACCAUGAACCUGAACACAAUAGAUGUGUCUACACAUACAGUCAAAUGGAUACACUCACAGUCAAAUGGAUACACUCACAGUCAAAUGGAUACACUCACAGUCAUGGCCUGAUAUGCACUUUGUUUCAUAAUGCUCUUUUUUAGCACUUAUAACAAAUGUUUAGACGAACAACAAGAUUGUCAAUCAAGAAAAUGUAGAUCUUAUGGAUUUGUGUAACUAAUGUAAAGAUUGGUUGUAUGUGGGUCGCAUUGAUAUAAUAUUUAUUGAUAAUAUGAUGUGUUGAUUAUUGUUGACUACACAUUAAACUGCUUUGAGUUGAUCUGAUUAAGGCAAAUUUCGUAUCGUAUGGAAUAUGAUUUUUUGUGAAGCUUGAUAUAAAAAUGCAACAUGCACUUUUGUGAAGCUUGAUAUAAAAAUGCAACAUGCACUUUUGCAGCAAAGCUAAAUGUUUAGGUCAUAUCGAGCCCUAAGCCUCCCUAUCUCUAGCAGAGCUUCACUAUUAAACACAUAGGAAACAAUACAUGUUGUACCAUGUUUGGGUUGUGUGUUGGGUUGUGACUAUGCAUCUGGUCAUAAUAAUGUAGAUUGUGUUGUUAAAGUGUAUGGCGUUUGUAUGAGGUGUAUGAGGUUCAAACUCUUAACACGCUCAGGGUGUCGUUACACACCGCCACCUCCAUAUACCGUGCAGUGUGUACGUGUAUGUACGUGUGUGUAUAUGAAUGUGUGUGUGUUUACAUGUAUCUGUCUGUAUUAAUAUGUGAGUGCAUGUGUGUAUGCGUACACAUAUGUGCAAUCAUGCACAUCAACAAAGAAAAAAAAACAAGCAUCUGGGAAACAGCUCAGGUAAGAUGGUUUUCUGGAAGUAGAACACCAUAUCUAGGCAACACUGACUAUGGUGAGAUUACACUCAGUGCAAACACACACACACACACACUUUAGAAAGCCUGAUAUAAGAUUGACCUACUUUUUUAACGCAUAACACUCUGAUAAGCUAAAUUGCUUCUUACAAGACAUUGUAAACCCACCUGGUGCCAAUUCCUAUUAAAAUGUUAACACUGAUAAUAAAGACUAAAUCAUACAAAAAUACGGAAAACAUAAUAUAAUAUACUAAAUAUAUUAUAUAUACUGUACUGAAGCAAUGGCAAAACAUAACAGGCUUGUAGUUUUAAAGAUCAAGGAUCCAACUAACUAUACAACAUAAUUUUCCUUUUAAAUCUUCAGCUGUGAAUCACCAGGACUAGGGAGAUAUAUGGUCAAUCCACUGACCAAUUAGGGCAGUCAAGGACGUUCCAUUGACUAAUAGGCAGCUAGGGACGCUCCACUGAUCAAUGAGGUCAGAGAGCGGCACUCCACUGACUUGACUUCAUGACAAUACAUGACUUUGUUGUAUUUGGGCCAGAGUGGUUAGGGUUAGCUGAGACUUCUGAGAGGUCAGGAGGUAAGAGUAGACCCUAUAGGAGUUAAAGGUUAAACGCUGAACUUCAACUGCAGAUCAUCCACUGCUCAGUCUGACUUGCUGUUUAGACACUUUCUGAUGAACAGAACGAUGAUGGCGUCUAGUACUGGUAGAGGUGUUUUUGGACAUUAAUGCAUACACCUACA